UAAAGAAUCUUGGACAAUGAGCGCAAGCUUGAUCCAGCUAUUUUGCGUGAGGGAUGAAGGCUCUUUUGGUCGUAAACCUCUUUCGUUGAGUAUGGAUGAUGACGUCACUCAAGGAAGAAGCCCCGGCCAAUUCUGUGCCAGCAGCCGCGGUAAGACAGAAGGGGCAAGUGUUAUUCAGAAUAAUUGGGCGUAAAGAGCACGUAGGCUGUUUUCUCUGCAGAAGGUGAAAAUCCAGAGCUUGCCUGUGGAAAAGCCUUUUGAACAAGAAAACUUGAGCUUGAAAGAGGAUACUAGAAUUUCGAGUGGAGAGGUGAAAUUCGUAGAGAUUCGAAGGAAUACCAAAUGCGAAGGCAUGUAUCUGGGUCAAAGCUGACGCUGAGGUGCGAAAGCAUGGGGAGCAAACAGG
rnacentral:rRNA from 1 species